AUGCUUCGACCUGGCUGCUCCAGGGCUGUUGAGAGAGGCUCAGCAACUUGGGGGUUUGUCUGGUUGUUCAGAUCCCCUGGCAGGCCCUGGGCCCAAGCUCACAGACUCACUGUGUCCCAGGGAAAGGCCGAGUUUAAGGAGGGCAGGGCGUCAGUGCGCAUCCAUCUGAGCCCGCCCAGCUCUGCUCCUCUGAACACGCCCUGCUGGCCCUGGGGAGUUCAAGGAUUCCCUGCACCAGAUGUUCCAGCUGGAAGGUCCUCCCCCGCCACUGCUCAUCUUCCACUACCUCCUGGCACGUGCACAGCCUGCAGUGACGCUGGGAUGGUGGCAGAUCCAAAGGUGCCCCGUCUGUCCCCAGAGAGAUGCAACAGAGAGCACCUGUCACCGUCUCCUGGGUCUCAGCCCAGCAGCCCCACGCACAUCACUCAGGCCACCAUGCCAGCCCGGGCUGCCAUCACUUCUUCCUGCCCAGAUGCCUGGACUCCUGCAUUAGCCUCCUGCCAAGGGCAACCUCAGCACACCCGAGACCUACCUGUCCCUGCUGGGAUGGUGUUGGGGGGCCACACUUGGGAGCCCCCACAGAACACAGGUGGGAGUGUGUUCCCCGGGAGAGCCUUCCUCCUUCAGUUGGGAAGGAUUACCCCUCUGCUGAUUCCUGUGGUUUCUCUGCUUCUUUCUACCCUCCUACAAUCUAUUCUUCUACACACCCAGAAUAAUCUUUAAUUUUUUAAAAAAGGUGUUUUUGUUCUUUAUUUGGUGGUGGCGGGUCUCACUUGCAGCACGUGGAUCUGCGUUGCGUCAUGGGGGAUCUUUUGUUGCAGCAUGUGGACUCUCUGACUGUGGCUCACAGGCUCAGUAGUUGCGGCAAGCAGGCUACAUUGCCUUAGGGCAUGUGGGAUCUUAGUUCCCCGACCAGGGCUUGAACCCACGACCCCUGCAUUUCAAGGUGGAUUCUUAACCAUUAGACUGCCAAGGAAGUCCCCACCCAG
rnacentral:lncRNA from 1 species